CUUCAUCCUGCCUUCUACACAACCUCUAUUUGAUUUUGAUACAUUUUAAAGAAUGAAGUGCAGUGUGAUCAUUUUUGUGCUGUCCGCGGUUGUCCUUGCGGCUCAACCUGGAGAAGGUUUUUUACACCUCCUCCCUGGCAUCAUCAAAGAUGUUGGUCAUGGUAUUAAUGGCCUUGCUCACCUGAUUCAUGGGCCUGGAGACAAUGAAGUACAAGCAGACCAGCAGCAACUGGCCCAGCAGGAAGUGGACCAGCAGAAACUGGCCCAGCAAGAAGUGGACCAGCAGAAACUGGCCCAGCAAAAAGUGGACCAGCAGCAGCAACUUAAGGCUGUAAAAUAUCGUAUUGCUUAGACUCAGUGAACAAACCUGAGAAUGCUUUCAAGCUUGAACUAAUUCUACAAGUAGUCUUGUCUAUAACCUCGAGAAUUCUUUCUUGAAAGUGUAUUCUUUGCUAAAAAUUAAGUUGAUCAGUUUGGCUCUUAGCCUGUUGAACAAUAAACUUCUGCAGCAGCAUAUUGAAA